UGGGGAAUAUUGGACAAUGGGCGAAAGCCUGAUCCAGCCAUGCCGCGUGUGUGAAGAAGGUCUUCGGAUUGUAAAGCACUUUAAGUUGGGAGGAAGGGCAGUAAGUUAAUACCUUGCUGUUUUGACGUUACCAACAGAAUAAGCACCGGCUAACUUCGUGNCAGCAGCCGCGGUAAUACGAAGGGUGCAAGCGUUAAUCGGAAUUACUGGGCGUAAAGCGCGCGUAGGUGGUUCAGCAAGUUGGAUGUGAAAUCCCCGGGCUCAACCUGGGAACUGCAUCCAAAACUACUGAGCUAGAGUACGGUAGAGGGUGGUGGAAUUUCCUGUGUAGCGGUGAAAAUGCGUAGAUAUAGGAAGGAACACCAGUGGCGAAGGCGACCACCUGGGACUGAUACUGACACUGAGGGUGCGAAAGCGUGGGGAGCAAACAGGAUUAGAUACCCUGGUNGUCCACGCCGUAAACGAUGUCGACUAGCGUUGGGAUCCUUGAGAUCUUAGUGGCGCAGCUAACGCGAUAAGUCGACCGCCUGGGGAGUACGGCCGCAAGGUUA
rnacentral:rRNA from 1 species